GUCCACGCCCUAAACGAUGACAACUGGAUGUCGGGAGGGUUUGCCUUCCGGUGUCGUAGCUAACGCGUUAAGUUGUCCGCCUGGGGAAGUACGGGCCGCAAGGUUGAAAACUCAAAAGGAAUUGAACGGGGACCCGCGACCAAGCGGUGGAGCAUGUGGUUUAAUUCGAUGCAACGCGAAGAACCUUACCUAGGUUCCUUGACAUCCUAGGAAUCCUGCAGAGAUGCGGGAGUGCCUUCGGGAACCUGGAGACAGGUGCUGCAUGGCUGUCGU
rnacentral:rRNA from 1 species